CAAACGGAUGUACCUCUGGCCUCGCAUCAAGCACUUGACCUGCUUGAGACUGCUGAACAAAGAACGAGGGGAGGAACAGCUAUUCACCUAUAUAAUCCAAAUUUCUCCGUCAGCUAUACAUAAACAUCUGCUAGCUGCUUCCAGCACUGAUCCGAAACUAACGGAUAGACCCUGGCUGGCUCUGCUUGACGCCGACUGGGCGCCAUAUUGAUACUCAGAAAGCGAUACUAAGCCACGCCAUUGAAUAUUUGUAUUUUUUUAUACACUGAUAACCUUGCAGUUCUUUUAUUAUCUUGUUUGGUAGUUUAUAUGAAUUUGCGAGUAGUAAUCAUUUGGCUGCGUGUGGUGGCUUCAGCCAGUUUUUUUUUUUUAACAGCGAGCUGGCAGUAGUUUGAAGUGAGUUACGGUCAUGGCAGGUCGAUGCACGACGACUUUCAUUUCAGCUCAUGCGCUAAAAAGCUAUCUCCGUUUAGUCAGCAGACGCGCGGUCGUUAAGUGCGUUUAACCAGUCUGUUUCGACCCUCGCCAGGAGCGCGGACACGCAGUGCACGGACCAUAAUGAGACCCGUCACGCUUUGAUGCGCAGCCGGCCUUUCACUGUGAGAGGCAGCUGUGAGCCUCUGAAAGGGUUAACGGUGGUAUUUUUUUUUUUCUCUCUGUGUAAGCUGUUAAGGCUGGGUCAGCAUGACAACAAAAACUACUUCUGUAAAUAAAUGACGAGUGCUUUAGUGAAAAGUAAAUUUUCUUUGUCAAAGUUUUACUGGAGAAAAUUGACAGCAGUACAUUAAAAAGCAUUUUCCUCAUUCAGGGCAGACAAUCCCAUACCGGACCUGAAUGCCGCUCUACAACAAAGACCACAUUAAAGAUCUUUAUCAGAUGUGUGCGUCCAGUUCCCUCUUCUUCGAACAGGACAAGCAACUGUAAAAAACAAGAAAUAAUUCUGCUCCAGGACAGGAAACAGCAACACAACAAAUCAUUCCGCAAACGUCAACGUGUCAGUAAUAACAUGUAAACUAUCUUCAUGAAUAUUUACAUGAACGGGUUGUCUUCGCUUACUUUUAGUCGCCAAGGAGACGAAAUGGCCACCCUUUCGACGGUUGCAAAAACCUCGCCAGAAAAAUCAAUAACAAUACUUCAUAUUUUCCCUCCACCUGGGGAUUAGUUUUUCUUCUUUGACAAGAACUGCAAGAUGAUUAUAUUUUCACAGGCCUCUCGAGCACAAAAUCUGAUUUCUGCUUGUGGCUGGGCUGUCAUCGAGGUUUCAUCUUUUGGUGAUGAAUAUUGAAACGCGGCCUUACAUGAUAGUAUUAAGGUGACGGAUUGCGAUUUUUUUUUUUUUUUUUUUUGAACCAUCACACGUUUUGUUUAUGCGUUGAGCUGACAGUAACUUAUUCUAAUUUUAAGUACAGUGGAUAUUCACCAGCAACAAGUGACAGCACUUGGUAUUGAACCUAUGUCAUAGAGAAGUCUCUAGAAGUAUUUAGGCUGGAUUGAUUGAUUGAUUCUGUCGGGAGACACAAUAUCAAAGUGAGUGAGUACCGUUUGCCGAUGCUUGUGCUUUUGACGACAUCUCCAGCACAGAGCUAUUAAAAAAAAAAAA